UACGGAGGGUGCAAGCGUUAUCCGGAUUUACUGGGUUUAAAGGGUGUGUAGGCGGGCUUUUAAGUCAGUGGUGAAAUCUCCGGGCUCAACCCGGAAACUGCCAUUGAUACUAUUAGUCUUGAAUUUUGUUGAGGUAGGCGGAAUAAGUCAUGUAGCGGUGAAAAUGCUUAGAUAUGACUUAGAACACCAAUUGCGAAGGCAGCUUGCUAAACAAACAUUGACGCUGAGUAC
rnacentral:rRNA from 1 species